rnacentral:misc_RNA from 1 species
GAUGAAGAACGCAGCGAAAUGCGAUAAGUAAUGUGAAUUGCAGAAUUCAGUGAAUCAUCGAAUCUUUGAACGCACCUUGCGCCCUUUGGCUAUUCUGAAGGGCAUGCCUGUUUGAGUAUCAUGAACACCUCAACUCUUAUGGUUUGCCAUGAUGAGCUUGGACUUUGGGGGUCUUGCUGGCCUACGGUCGGCUCCUCUCAAAUGAAUCAGCUUGCCAGUGUUUGGUGGCAUCACGGGUGUGAUAACUAUCUACGCUUGUGGUUUCCCGCCAGGUAACCUUCAGUGAUGGAGGUUCGCUGGGGCUCAUAAAUGUCCCUCCACAGUGAGGACAGCUUUUGAACGUUUGAUCUCAAAUCAGGUAGGACUACCCGCUGAACUUAAGCAUAUCAAUAAGCGGAGGA